UACGGGGGGAGCAAGCGUUGUUCGGAUUUACUGGGCGUAAAGGGCGCGUAGGCGGUCAGCAUAGGACAGAUGUGAAAUCCCCGGGCUUAACCUGGGAACUGCAUUUGUGACUGCAUAGCUGGAGUACGGCAGAGGGGGAUGGAAUUCCGCGUGUAGCAGUGAAAUGCGUAGAUAUGCGGAGGAACACCGAUGGCGAAGGCAGUCCCCUGGGCCUGUACUGACGCUCAUGCACGAAAGCGUGGGGAGCAAACAGG
rnacentral:rRNA from 1 species